rnacentral:rRNA from 1 species
UACGAAGGGGGCUAGCGUUGUUCGGAAUUACUGGGCGUAAAGCGCGCGUAGGCGGACGUUUAAGUCAGGGGGUGAAAAUGCCGGGGGCUCAACCUCGGAACUGCCUUUGAUACUGGACGUCUGGAGUUCGGGAGAGGUGAGUGGAAUUCCGAGUGUAGAGGUGAAAUUCGUAGAUAUUCGGAGGAACACCAGAAGCGAAAGGGCGGCUCACUGGCCCGAUACUGACGCUGAGGCGCGAAAGCGUGGGGGAGCAAAACAGGAUUAGAAAACCCCGGUAGGUCCAAGAACC